GUGAGUCUUACAAUGGGAAGAUGGGGGAGGCAGCACACUGGGGUCAGGAGUGGAGAUACUUAGGCUCCCCAGAGAAAUUAGUCACAAGUCUUAUCCCUUCAUCUCCAUUUACAGCCAUUUAUUUGGGAGCAACAUACUUUAAAUGAGUGAUAAACAAAAUGUCUCCCCACAGCCCCCACCCCAGCAUGUGUUCUGAAGUUCACAGGAAGGCUUCUCCUCAUUUGCUUUGGGGCCCGCAGGCUGCCUGCUAACAGCUGGGUCUUCCCAUGAACAAAUUAGACAGUUAAUGUUCCAGGAUGAAGAGGGCUUCGGGGAACAGAAUCUGCCGUUUAUUUGACUUGCUUCAUUAGACACAGUGCCAUCAUACCAAAAUUAGAAAAAAGAAGGAACUCAGCGGAAAUCAGCUACACAAGAAGAACCUCUCAGUUCUGAGAAUUCACAUUAACCAGUGAUUAAGAAAUAUUAAAAAGGGCUGAUAGUCCACUACGUUAUCAAGUUCAAAGCCUAAGAAAUAUUGAACAUUUCCACACAUGAAUGUGGGUACUAUGUUUAAUUUGAGAAUGGCCAACUGUCCUCGAAGUCUCAAUCUCUUUGGAGCCUACCAGCUCCGAGAGAAGUUUGAGGAUGCUGCAAAACCCUCCCCUGCAAAUCCAUCUACUCCUCCCACUUCUAUCCUAAUGGGUAUAGUUCUUGGCUGUGCUGAGGAUCUGUAAGGCACCAGAUGUGAAAGUAAGGAAGAAAGAUGGAUGUGGAAGAAAGUCACUGCCCAGAGAAUAAGGAGACCUGGAUUCUAAUCUCAGCUCUGCCAUUAACUAGCUUCUAUACUUUAUCCAAGAAAGAAUAAAUCAUUUCCAAAUAUUUUCAAAGAUGAAACUAUGGCUCAAAAGGGAAUAAGAGAUCAAGGCAAGCAUGGACAUCUUGUACGUGGAAGUGCAGACCAGAACUUGUAUCACAGCCAGUCAUAUCUGGUGCUUUCCAUGCUACUUUUACAUACAUGUAUCCUUAAAUUUGAUCCUCUUCUAGUUUAGUCUAAACUCUUUACUUUGUAACUUCCAAACCUAAAAGGUGCAGCAGACAUUGACAAUCUUAAUUCAUUUGUCAGGUCAUUUGGUUUCUUGGUUUCCUAAGGGACUGUAUCCUUCCUGCCCUGCUAAUGGGGAGACUUUUUGUUUUUUGUUUUCUGUUUUCCUUAAUAAGUGAGGCCAAGUGCUGUGUGUAACUGUGGGGUGGGCAAAAUUAGGAUUCCUGAAUCACUUCACUUUUUGUUGCCUUUCUCUUGGGAGAAUGGUUACCAUUGCAGAGAAGCAUAGUUAAAAUUGCUUUUGUGUUUCAUAAACGAAUUCAUACUUAGAUGUCAUUGACCAACAACUAAAUAGUAUAUCAGAGAUGAAAGGCAUCCUAGAGAUGACCAAAUCAAGCUCUUCAUUACUCAAAGGAGAAAAAAAUCCAGAAAGUGGAUGACAUAUGUUGAACUAGUGAUGGAAGUAGAACAGGGUAGUGUAUUUUCUGCCUCUUAAUUCUUCAUUUUUUACACUAAACCAGAUAUUAGGUAUAUGACUAGGAAGAUACGUGAGGUAAGGAGCAGAGGGUUUGGCUCCAAACUCAUCAUGUAGUCAUCCUCCUCCAAGCUCUGAGAGCUUCUCUCACAUGUUAAUUCAGAGGCAGUAACAAAAGAAUUAAUGCUCCUGAAGGUUUCUCAAUUUUAUCAUCUGGAAAGUGGAGUGAACCUUUGCAGAGUCCUUCUGAAGAGGGCUGACCUUGGACUGCACUAGGUUAUAUUCAUUUGCUAUUACUCAGCAAUAAAAAGUAAAUGCAACAAUAUAAA
rnacentral:lncRNA from 1 species